rnacentral:lncRNA from 1 species
AGGACUGAAAUCAAAUUCAAAGACCUCUAAUUAAUUUGUAAAAGAGUACUCCCUAUCUCAUUUAAAUGCUCUAAGGUAUAAUUAAAACUAGGAAAAAAAUUAACUUGUGUCCACAUGAUCCUAAAAACUAUUUAGUGUAAUAUUCUCUCGUCCUUAUCUAUAUGCUUGGAGUACAUGCCAUAAUCUCGUCAUGUCUACGAAAUUUUGUUCUUAUGGGACUUGUAAAAUUUACAACAAUUGAUGUUAGAGCCUAAAUUAGGUGUAGAUUAUUAUGCCUAGUCUAUUUUUUAAUAUAUUUUUUUUUACAAAAUAAUGACGGUCUAUUGUUGAUCUUUU